GAUGAACGCUGGCGGCGUGCCUAAUACAUGCAAGUCGAGCGAACGGACGAGAAGCUUGCUUCUCUGAUGUUAGCGGCGGACGGGUGAGUAACACGUGUAUAACCUCCCUAUCAGACUGGGAUAAUUUCGGGAAACCGGCUCUAAUACCGUAUAAUAUUUUGAACCGCAUUGUUCAAAAGUGAAAUACGGUCUUGCUGUCUCUUCUCGAUGGAUCUGCGCUUCAUUAGAUAGUUGGUAAGGUAACGGCUUACCAAGGCGACGAGGCAUAGACGACCGGAGAGGGUGAUAGGCGACACUGGAACUGAGACACGGUCCAGACUCCUACGGGAGGCAGCAGUAGGGAAUGUGACGCAAUGGGCGAAAGCAUGACGGAGCGACGCGACGUGAGUGAUGGAGGUGUCCGGAUCGUAAAGCUGUGUUAUUAGGGAAGAACAUAUGUGUAAGUAAAUGUGGACAGCUUGACGGUAACGGAUAAGAAAGCCACGGCUAACUACGUG
rnacentral:rRNA from 1 species